rnacentral:rRNA from 1 species
UACGUAGGGGGCAAGCGUUGUCCGGAUUUAUUGGGCGUAAAGAGCGUGUAGGCGGCCAGGUAGGUCCGCUGUGAAAACUCGAGGCUUAACCUCGAGCUGUCGGUGGAAACCAUCUGGCUAGAGUCCGGAAGAGGAGAACGGAGUUCCCGGUGUAGCGGUGAAAUGCGCAGAUAUCGGGAAGAACACCCGUGGCGAAGGCGGUUCUCUGGGACGGUACUGACGCUGAGACGCGAAAGCGUGGGGAGCGAACAGG